AACGAACGCUGGCGGCAUGCCUAACACAUGCAAGUCGAACGAGACCUUCGGGUCUAGUGGCGCACGGGUGCGUAACGCGUGGGAACCUGCCCUUAGGUUCGGAAUAACUCCCCGAAAGGGGUGCUAAUACCGGAUAAUGUCUUCGGACCAAAGAUUUAUCGCCUUUGGAUGGGCCCGCGUUGGAUUAGCUAGUUGGUAGGGUAAAAGCCUACCAAGGCGACGAUCCAUAGCUGGUCUGAGAGGAUGAUCAGCCACACUGGGACUGAGACACGGCCCAGACUCCUACGCAAGGGUGCAGUGGGGAAUAUUGGGCAAUGGGCGAUAGUCUGAUCCAGCAGUGCCGCGUAAGUGAUGAAGGCCUUAGGGUUGUAAAGCUCUUUUACCCGGGAUGAUAAUGACAGUACCGGGUGAAUAAGCACCGGCUAACUCCGUG
rnacentral:rRNA from 1 species